rnacentral:lncRNA from 1 species
AACUGAAUAAGGAAGACUUUUUUUUCUUGCUUUAUUAAAAUGUAGAUUUAUGUAGUCUAUAUAGUUAAUAGCACAAAGUUAAUUUGGAACUAAAACUCUGUUUAGGUGAACAUGAAGAGUAUGGCAACAAUUCAAGGAAAACAAGUUGAUGAACAUAAAGGUUCACAAAGAAGUUGAGGCAUCUUGAGGUGCCAAUAUGUGAUUGUGUGACAGCAGACAGGAAAAUGACUGCAAAUGAGAAUACGGAGGCGAAGAGGGUUGGAGUAAGAGUUCCAGAUGUUUCGACAGCUUACUAGAAAGAAAUGGACUGACGGAAUGCUUCUUAAUUUUCCAGUUUCAUCAAAGAGGUUUACAGAUACAAAACAAAGAAAUGAAGAUGUGUAAGACAAUACCUACAUUCAUCCUGCUGCUUACAGGGUAUUUUGUUAAAAAUAUGCAUGUUCAUGCAACAGAUCCAACACUAUUAUUGCAAACUACUUCCAGUGUCACAGAAGCUUCUCACCAAGAAACAGCAACAGCUGAUUCAAAACCAGUAACAACCGGACCAGAAAAUGAGUCGAGUCCCGUUCCAGAAGAACGUUUGUCAUCUACAGUAGUGGCAGGAACCAGCAUUUCCCUUGUGAUCAUCUUGAUAUGUGUAAUUGCUUUUUUUUGGUUCAAAUGGAAAUCGUCUAAGGAAAGUUCAGCUGAAAUUAAUUCUGACCCCUCCAGUGAAGCUGUGGUGACCUUAAAAAAUACCAAGUUAUGA